rnacentral:rRNA from 1 species
CGCUGGCGGCGUGCCUAACACAUGCAAGUCGAACGAGGUCCAUCCUUCGGGAGAAGACCUAGUGGCGAACGGGUGAGUAACACGUGAAGAACCUGCCCCGAAGACCGGGAUAACCCUCCGAAAGGAGAGCUAAUACCGGAUACCCCCACCGAACCGCAUGGUUUGGUGAGGAAAUGGAUUCCGCUUCGGGAGGGCUUCGCGGCCUAUCAGCUAGUUGGUGGGGUAACGGCCCACCAAGGCAUCGACGGGUAGCUGGUCUGAGAGGACGAUCAGCCACACUGGGACUGAGACACGGCCCAGACUCCUACGGGAGGCAGCAGUGGGGAAUCUUGCGCAAUGGGCGAAAGCCUGACGCAGCAACGCCGCGUGGGGGAUGAAGGCUCUCGGGUUGUAAACCCCUUUCAGCAGGGACGAAUCAAGACGGUGCCUGCAGAAGAAGCCCCGGCUAACUACGUG